rnacentral:rRNA from 1 species
UUUGAUUCUGGCUCAGGACCAACGCUGGCCGCCUGCUUUACACAUGCCAGUCCAACGGUGAAAGGACCAGCUUGCUGGUUCUGGAUGAAUGGCGAACGGGUGAGUAACACGUGAGUAACCUGCCCCCUUCUUCUGGAUAACCGCAUGAAAGUGUGGCUAAUACGGGAUAUUCUGGGUCUGUCGCAUGACGGGCCCGGGAAAGAUGCGCCUUUGGGUGUUUUUGGUGGGGGAUGGGCUCGCGGCCUAUCAGCUUGUUGGUGGGGUGAUGGCCUACCAAGGCGGUGACGGGUAGCCGGCCUGAGAGGGUGGACGGCCACACUGGGACUGAGACACGGCCCAGACUCCUACGGGAGGCAGCAGUGGGGAAUAUUGCACAAUGGGCGCAAGCCUGAUGCAGCGACGCCGCGUGAGGGAUGGAGGCCUUCGGGUUGUAAACCUCUUUCGCCAGUGAAGCAGGCCUGCUCCUUGUGGGUGGGUUGACGGUAGCUGGAUAAGAAGCGCCGGCUAACUACGUGCCAGCAGCCGCGGUAAUACGUAGGGCGCGAGCGUUGUCCGGAAUUAUUGGGCGUAAAGAGCUCGUAGGCGGCUGGUCGCGUCUGUCGUGAAAUCCUCUGGCUUAACUGGGGGCUUGCGGUGGGUACGGGCCGGCUUGAGUGCGGUAGGGGAGACUGGAACUCCUGGUGUAGCGGUGGAAUGCGCAGAUAUCAGGAAGAACACCGGUGGCGAAGGCGGGUCUCUGGGCCGUUACUGACGCUGAGGAGCGAAAGCGUGGGGAGCGAACAGGAUUAGAUACCCUGGUAGUCCACGCCGUAAACGUUGGGCACUAGGUGUGGGGGGCCUUUUCCGGGUCUUCCGCGCCGUAGCUAACGCAUUAAGUGCCCCGCCUGGGGAGUACGGCCGCAAGGCUAAAACUCAAAGGAAUUGACGGGGGCCCGCACAAGCGGCGGAGCAUGCGGAUUAAUUCGAUGCAACGCGAAGAACCUUACCAAGGCUUGACAUGUGCCGGUCGGCUCCGGAGACGGGGCUUCCUCCUUGUGGGGCCGGUUCACAGGUGGUGCAUGGUUGUCGUCAGCUCGUGUCGUGAGAUGUUGGGUUAAGUCCCGCAACGAGCGCAACCCUUGUCCCGUGUUGCCAGCACGUUGUGGUGGGGACUCGCGGGAGACUGCCGGGGUCAACUCGGAGGAAGGUGGGGAUGACGUCAAAUCAUCAUGCCCCUUAUGUCUUGGGCUUCACGCAUGCUACAAUGGCCGGUACAGAGGGCUGCGAUACCGUGAGGUGGAGCGAAUCCCUUAAAGCCGGUCUCAGUUCGGAUCGGUGUCUGCAACUCGACACCGUGAAGUUGGAGUCGCUAGUAAUCGCAGAUCAGCAACGCUGCGGUGAAUACGUUCUCGGGCCUUGUACACACCGCCCGUC